rnacentral:rRNA from 1 species
UAUUUUUUAAUUAAAUAUUUUUAGGUUUAUUAUUUAAUAAAAAUAAUUUUUAUUUAAGUAUCUUUAAGAAAUAAAUAUGAAUUUUAUAGGGGAUAGUACUGUGAAGGAAUUGUAUUUAAUAUAUUUGAAGUAAUUAUGUUUUUUUUACCUUUUGUAUCAGGGUUUAUUUAAUUUGUUAAUUUAUUUUUUCUUUCUCGAAAUUUCAAGAGCUAUAUUCUUAUGUUAUUUAAUGUUACAAUAUUUUUUGGGAUAGGAUUAUAGGGAAUAGAUUUUAUUCAAUUGACAAUAUCUAGUUUUUUAAGAUAUGGGUUUAAUCCAUAAAUAAAUUUAUUUAUUUACUUACUUGAUUUUGAUUUAUUUAUAUAUAAUAAAGGAUAAGCUUUUUUAUAAUUCUAUAAUUAUGUAUUUCAUUAUUUUUUGUAGGGAUAGUAAUUUCCAUCUUUUAUUUUGUAAAAAUUAUUUUUGUAAUGUUUUUUAUUUUUUUGUUUUUAGAUUAUUAUUAAAAUAAAUAGAAUAAUUCUUAUUUUGUUGAAAAAAUGAUAAAAUUAGUAUUUUUAAAAAAUAAAUUAUAGUAAUUCGGCAAAUAUAAAUUUCACCUGUUUAACAAAAACAUGGUCUUUUGUUUAUAUAAAAGAUCUGGCCUGCCCCAUGUUAUUAAAUGGCUGCAGUAUAUUGACUGUACAAAGGUAGCAUAAUCACUUGUCUCUUAAUUGGAGUCUGGAAUGAAUGGUUGGAUGAAAAUUUUUCUUUCUUUAUUUUUUACAAAAAAUUUAAUCUUUAAAUUAAAAAGUUUAAAUAUUUAUAUAGGACGAGAAGACCCUAUAGAACUUUAUUCCCCUAAAAUAAUUAUUUUUUUGAAAAUAAUUUUUUAUUAUUUAAUGGGGAAUUUUGUUGGGGUGACAAAAAAAAUUUUAUAACUUUUUUUAUUUUUUUCAUUUAUAUAUGUAUUUUUGAUCCUUUAUUAUGGAUAAUAUGAUUAAGUUACCUUAGGGAUAACAGCGUUAUUGUUUUAGAGAGUUCAUAUUGAUAAAGCAGUUUGCGACCUCGAUGUUGGAUUAAAAUUAGUCUCAGGGGCAGAAUAUUGGUUGACUGGGUCUGUUCGACCUUUAAAUUUUUACAUGAUCUGAGUUCAGACCGGCGUGAGCCAGGUUGGUUUCUAUCCUUAUUUUUCUGGAAAGCUUUAGUACGAGAGGACCAUGCUUUGGGAAUAUUUUUUUGGCUUUGAUUAUUUU